rnacentral:rRNA from 1 species
CUGAGGAAAUUCUUCAAUGCCCGAAAGGGUGAAAGAGUAAACCAGAGUGUUUCCUUAACGGAAACUUUUCUCUGCUGUAAAAAGGCAGAGGAAUAAGGACUGGGCAAGACCGGUGCCAGCCGCCGCGGUAAUCCCGGCGGUCCAAGUCGCAUCCACAUCUAUUGGGUCUAAAACAUCCGUAGCUUGUUUUGAAAGUCUCUUGUGAAAUCUGAUAUCUCAAGUAUCAGGCGUGCAAGAGAUACUGCAAAGCUUUAGAGACCGGAAGACGCAAAGAGUACGUUCGAGGUAGCGGUAAAAUGUGUUAAGCUCGAUCGGACUAACAAUGGCGAAGGCACUUUGCGAGUACGGAUCUGACAGUGAGGGAUGAAGGCUAGGGGCGCAAAAGGG